rnacentral:lncRNA from 1 species
CACACACACACACACACGCGCAGCCACAACGACAACGACAACGACGACGACGACGACAACGACAACAACACCUCCUUACCCACGACCACAACAAUGCUCCCUACGCCCGCCGAACCCUCUUCCCUCUCUCACUCACUCACUCCCUGCCUGCCUCGCACCGCAUUCCGGCGCGACGCCGACACCUGGCGGUCGCGCCCGAAACUGACACUCGCCGCCGACCCGGACCCCGGAACACCCUCUUGCAGCCCCUUGCCGCCCCUUGCCGCCGCUUGCCCCCCGGACCCGCGGACCACCGGACCACCGGACCGCGAGCCCACCCUUGUGUGGGUGUAUCCUGAAGAAGCACGGCGCCAGGGCCUUUGGCCCCAGGAUGCCUUCUUACUACCGACCUGCCUUCUCACGCCUCUCCUUGCUAGCUAGAGCCCUCAGAGUCCUGACAGGCCGCUGUCCUUGGGCAUGCAUGCCAAGACGCUGGCUGCCUACAGCCUUCUGGGAUUUCCCUCCUGGCUGAUGGCCGCUCCGUUGGGACAGAGGCCUGCGGAUCAACAGGAAGAGGACCGUUCUUGAGACGAUGCUGUUGAGAUGAAUUCAUGAUCUGAGGCCAUUCCUGAUGUGAUCUAUGCGGUUUUAGGAAGUUACCUGGAUUUAAAGAAUGUGGGGGAAGUUAGGCUAGUUGACAGAAAGUCUAAAAAGUCCGGAUCGAGACCGGAACGUGCCCCUUCCUCAUAGAACAACAAACAGCAAGAGACGCAGAGUUGAGAGAAGGAGUCCAGUGAGCUCCCCUCGGGCCUUAAAAGCACAGACUCGUAGUAGCAACAAAAGUAGGCCUGGGACAAGUUCAUGCUCCGAGAGGACAUCCCUUCAAGGUUGGGCUCCGAUUCCUUCAUCUUGGGAUCUAGGCCCGUGGCCACAGGUGCCUGUCGGUGUGCACCGCCAAGAGACACCACACCGCUAGGAAAGAAGAGUUCAUCAAUCACUCUCUUGGGAGUGUUUGGGACAGAGGAGAGGUGAUUAUCCAGAUUACCUGAACGACAAGACUUUGAAACAAGAGAAAAAAAAAGAAAAGAAAGAAAUGGCACACGACAGAGGAUGAUGACCAGUCUCUUGCUAAAUACAAAUUGUCAAGCCUGGAUAACAAAACUGGAUAACUUAGGCUUGACUGGAUUAAACUUUGUUCAUCCGUGACAAGAGAAUUAUCGCCUUGGAGUUAAGUCGAACUGGUGGCGAGAAAGAAGGAUGGGAAAUGUUUGCUAAGGUGUGAGUGUCAAAACAAAAAUCUGUAAUCAAUAAGUCCGGUGUGAUUUCCUUUUCUGGAAUGACUUUAAUCUGGUUUUGGAAGGAUAUGUUUCUGUGCUGAUGGCUUUUAGAGAAUAUGUGACAUGUGUUUUCGAGGUGAUCUUUUUCUUACACAGAGAGAGCGCGGUCUUAGGUGGUAUGAUGGGGCUGGGGGCGGGGGGUGGGGGAAUAAGGUUCUCGGAGCCAGCUCCUUAGAGUUUGCUCUAUCCACCAAAUGCGGACAUGUGGAAAGGUGGAUAUGUGGACAUGGCUGAAACGGUUGGAGCCUGUUUAAUGAAGCGUGCUCCAUCCUCUGA